GACGAACGCUGGCGGCGUGCCUAAUACAUGCAAGUAGAAACGCUGAAGGAGGAGCUUGCUUCUCUGGAUGAGUUGCGAACGGGUGAGUAACGCGUAGGUAACCUGCCUGGUAGCGGGGGAUAACUAUUGGAAACGAUAGCUAAUACCGCAUAAGAGUAGAUGUUGCAUGACAUUUGCUUAAAAGGUGCAAUUGCAUCACUACCAGAUGGACCUGCGUUGUAUUAGCUAGUUGGUGAGGUAACGGCUCACCAAGGCGACGAUACAUAGCCGACCUGAGAGGGUGAUCGGCCACACUGGGACUGAGACACGGCCCAGACUCCUACGGGAGGCAGCAGUAGGGAAUCUUCGGCAAUGGACGGAAGUCUGACCGAGCAACGCCGCGUGAGUGAAGAAGGUUUUCGGAUCGUAAAGCUCUGUUGUAAGAGAAGAACGAUGUGUGAGAGUGGAA
rnacentral:rRNA from 1 species